CCUACGGGAGGCAGCAGUGGGGAAUAUUGGGCAAUGGGCGCAAGCCUGACCCAGCAACGCCGCGUGAAGGAAGAAGGCUUUCGGGUUGUAAACUUCUUUUCUCAGGGACGAAGCAAGUGACGGUACCUGAGGAAUAAGCCACGGCUAACUACGUGCCAGCAGCCGCGGUAAUACGUAGGUGGCAAGCGUUAUCCGGAUUUACUGGGUGUAAAGGGAGUGUAGGCGGGGACGCAAGUCAGAUGUGAAAACCACGGGCUCAACCUGUGGACUGCAUUUGAAACUGUGUUUCUUGAGUACUGGAGAGGCAGACGGAAUUCGUGGUGUAGCGGUGAAAUGCGUAGAUAUUAGGAGGAACACCAGUGGCGAAGGCGGUCUGCUGGACAGCAACUGACGCUGAGGCGUGAAAGCGUGGGGAGCAAACAGGAUUAGAUACCCCUGUAGUC
rnacentral:rRNA from 1 species